CACAAGCAAAGGAAGGUUUAGGGUUAUAUUCUUAAGUUGCAUAAUUCACCUAUUUUUUCCUCAUUUUUUACAGAUAUACAAUGGGAAAUGUUAUGAUUUGCUUGUCAACAACCCAGUGGUGACCAGACGAAAACUUCACUGCGAGUGGAAUGUGAGCAUCUUUUGCAGGCCUCAGUAUCAGCUGGUUCUAUUUAUGGAUGAAGAGCAAGCUAAAAGACCAUUAUGGAGCAUUUUACACAGCUUUGAAAGGCCAGACCAAAUAUGCAACAUGAAGAUGCUUCCAGCGAUGCACACAACCCUUCCAACGAUCCUUUCACCAUGUAAAUCAUUUCAGCUUGCCUAUCCAAUGCCAAAAGGUUUAUGCCUAUUUUGCGGUUCAGAGGGACACCUCCUUCCCUCGUGUCCAGUCAGACCUCCAUGCCCAGCGCAAAAGCCCUCAUAGACUCCAGAUAGAGGAUGACGAGUGGAAGACAGAUUUGUAACACCAUCAGGCCACUACAGAUAUCUCAUUAUGCCAUACAGACUGUCCAACUCACCCACAGUCUUCCAGGGAUUUAUAUAUGAGGUGUUCCGGGAAUUCCUUCAUUGUUUCUUUAUGAUGAUAUCCUCAUCUAUUCCCGGAACCAGGCCAAAUAUCUCCAAAAUGUGACGCAG
ensembl:lncRNA